ensembl:lncRNA
GCCACCUCCAUUGAAGACUGCCUGGUCCAUGAGUGUCCACCAUUUGGAAUUGACAAUUGGAGCCUAACAAGUUCAACCAAAGUGUCUUAGAUGGGGUUUUACUGCUGUGAACAAACACAAUGAUGAAGAACUAGAGUUUCAUAAAGGUUGCUCAUUGUCAGAGUCCGGAUGUGCAGGGCCGGACGUGCCUGAGGGAGAGCCAGAGAUGGGACUUGCCAAACCAGCUAUCAGCCCCAAGGACACUGACCAUCCGUAGCCACCCCCUCCCCUUCCUUCACCCCCCCUGAGUGAGAUGAGCCACCCUACCUGCCUGUCGAGCUGCUAGAUAACACAUACUCCUUGCUGAUGUAAUUUCACAC